ensembl:rRNA 5S_rRNA 5S ribosomal RNA
GCCUACGACCAUCUCACCCGGAAUGCGCCCGAUCUCGUCUGAUCUCGGAAGCUAAGCAGAGUCGAGCCUGGUUAAUACUUGGAUGGGCGACUGCCUGGGAAUACCAGGUGUUGUAGGCU